AAUGAAUCACUAUCUGACACCAUGCUCAAGAACAAAUCCCACACGGAUCAAAGACAAACACGUUAACAUUCCCAGACCAUUGGCUGACGCCCUGGUCCAAGCCUCAUCUCUUGGCCUGGGCCUGGGCAGCAGCUCUCAGCGGUCUCCCUGCAGUUAGAGCAUCCCCACCUCUAAUGACAGUGUCUCACAUGUGUCCAAUGUUCUACCAUAUUUUAACAAUCACAAAAUAGCACAGGCCAUGAGCACCUGAAGCGACAGCACUGUGCGAGGCCACUCAACACACAUGACCUCACCUAGUCUCGACAACAACCCUUCAAAGGCAGGCCCAGGGCUUGGCUCCCCUAGCCAAGCUGCUCAUAAACCAGCUGAGCGAAUGAAAGCACUUUCUUUUUGCACGUGAGACAACCAAGGCUCAGAGAGGGUAAGCACCUUGCCCAAGGUCCUACAGCCCCUCACUGGCAGAGAUGGCCAAGUUUCUAUUAAUACAAGUCUCCAGUGACACAGGCCUCCAGAUGGGACGCUGUUUUUUGAGAACCUUUGUCAUCCUGCCCCUCCCCUCUUUAAUCUUCACAGCCUCUAUCAGGAAUCCCCCUCUCAACAGAUGCACCGAGCUGACUUCGAGCUUUUCCCUGUGCAGCAGCCAGUGCCUGGGAUGUCUCCCUCCUCUCCUCACCUCCAUCGACUGUAUUUAAUGCCACUGAAGUGCACACUUACAAACGGUUAAAUUGACAAUCAUUAUGUAUUAUGUCACCUAUGUAAUUUCUUUUUUUUUUUUUUUCUUGAGAUGGAGUCUCGCUCUGUCGCCCAGGCUGCAGUGCAGUGGUGCUCUCUCGGCUCACGGCAACCUCUGCCUCCCAUUCAAGCGAUUCUCCUGCCUCAGCCUCCUGAGUAGCUGGGAUUACAGGCGUGAGCCACCGUGCCCGGCCCUUGUUUUCCUUUUGAAACAGGGUCUCACUGUCACCCAAACUGGAGUGCAGUGGCAUGAUCAUGGCUGUCUGCAGCCUCGACCUCCUGGGGCUAAGCACUCCUCCCAACUAAGGCUGCUGAGUAGCUGGGACCACAG
rnacentral:lncRNA from 1 species